rnacentral:rRNA from 1 species
CCCUUAGAUGUUCUGGGCCGCACGCGCGCUACACUGAUGCAUUCAACGAGUCUAAAACCUGCUCUGAUAGGGGUGGGUAAUCUUUUGAAUGUGCAUCGUGAUUGGGAUAGAUGAUUGCAAUUAUUGGUCUCCAACGAGGAAUUCCUAGUAAACGCAAGUCAUCAGCUUGCAUUGAUUACGUCCCUGCCCUUUGUACACACCGCCCGUCGCACCUACCGAUUGAAUGGUCCGGUGAAAUCUUCGGAUUGAGACUUUGAUUUCUUCACGGAAAACGCUGUUUUAAAAAGUUGAUUAAACCUUACCAUUUAGAGGAAGGUGAAGUCGUAACA